rnacentral:rRNA from 1 species
AUCUAAGUACCCCGAGGAAAAGAAAUCAACCGAGAUUCCCCCAGUAGCGGCGAGCGAACGGGGAGGAGCCCAGAGCCUGAAUCAGCAUGUGUGUUAGUGGAAGCGUCUGGAAAGGCGCGCGAUACAGGGUGACAGCCCCGUACACAAAAGCGCAUGUGCUGUGAGCUCGAUGAGUAGGGCGGGACACGUGGUAUCCUGUCUGAAUAUGGGGGGACCAUCCUCCAAGGCUAAAUACUCCUGACUGACCGAUAGUGAACCAGUACCGUGAGGGAAAGGCGAAAAGAACCCCGGCGAGGGGAGUGAAAAAGAACCUGAAACCGUGUACGUACAAGCAGUGGGAGCACAGGUUUACCUGUGUGACUGCGUACCUUUUGUAUAAUG